AAAAGCAUCAGAUCCAACAGAACCAGUUGAGGCAGUGACUAAACCAGGAACUACCGAGAUAGUUGUGAAUGUUGACGAUGACGGCGUCAUUUCACUGAAUUUUGAGUGCUCUAACCUCACCGCUGACUCCAAAUUCGUCUGGUCCAAGAACUACAUGGAAAUGACAGAACCUGAACGCAUGACCUUAGAGACCAAGGGUAACAAAUCCAAAGCCAUCUUUAAAACACCUUCAGAAGAAGAUCUGGGUAUCUACUCUUGUUUCGUGACACACACUGAUGGAGCCUCUGCCAGCUACACACUCUCUGAGGAAACUCUAAAAGAACUCCUGAAGAUCAGCCACGACCACAAAUUCCCCAG